AUGCCAGAGGCUCCUCGGGGUCACCCCUCCACAGACUCGGGCUGCCGUGCCCCUGACAUUGCGGCCAGCCUUGUCCCUGUGGCCACCACCCCAAGCGCCUCAUUCAGGACAGCUGCCGCCAGGUGGGAUGAUGUGGCGGGGCCAGGCCUCGUGGCGGGGGUCAGGAUGGCUCCCUGGGCACCUGCCCCGCUGGGCAAAGCCGGGGCGCUCGGAGCGCAGCCGAAGGCAGAUGGCACAGGUGUGUCCUUCCCUGACCGAGGUGCAGACCGGUGGAUGUGGGCCCUGCCUGGCCUCCGCUGGCCGCGCAGACGGGAGCACAGGCCGCGCCUCUGGAAGCCUUGCUCCCCGCAGUUGGCCGCCCGGCCUGGGGCUCAGCUGCCAGCACCGGAGGACACUUGUGGCCAGCGUGUGCGUGGCCGGACUUUCAAGGCCAGGGCUCUGAGACAGCUCCGCAGUGGCCAACCUCCGUGCCUCAGUUUCCCCCUGUUCCCAGGGACAGUGACGCCUGGCUCUUGGGGCUGCAGGCUCUCAUGCUGCCCGGCUGGACCUGGCUGGGGCCACGGCUGCUCUGCCUUCCUGUCCCGGGCGUGUCUCUGGCCGAGCAUUUCCCAGGGAGCAGGGGUGUCAGGAUCCGGCCUGAGUGCCUUGGUGAGGGGGGCGCCCACCAUCCCCACCUCGGUCCCAGGAACACCCUCGGGGGCCCCGCCGGCCCUGCCCGCAUCGGCCUUAAGCCCCCAGAGGGUCCUUGGGUCAGCUGGAGGCACCGGCCCUGCCCUGCCAGCAGCCCGUGACCAGCGGGAAGGCCCCGGUGGCCGCCUCACCUGGCCGGGCGCCCUGGCUGAUCCGGGGUCUGGGGGUGGUGGGAGCCCCCCUGAGCGUGGGAGGUUGCUGCCCAUCGGUGGCCCAGGAUGCCGGCUGACCGCAGCCCCCCGCGUCAAGUUGAAGCACAAAUCCUCAAAAAUGGUAGACUCUGCAGCCGGGGGCCACCGGCCAGGCACCAAGGGCCCCCAGGAAGGCCCCUCCCCUGAGGGCCAGAUGUCCCACCCCUCCCGGAGGCCGGGCGGGAGGGGACGCCAGGUGGGGGCCUGGCCGGGGGUUGCGAGGUGUCCUGUGGGCAACUGA
rnacentral:lncRNA from 1 species